GAUGAACGCUAGCGGUGUGCCUAAUGCAUGCAAGUCGAACGGGAUCCUUUGGAUUCGUCUGAAGGUGAGAGUGGCGAACGGGUGAGUAACACGUAGGUGACCUGCCCCGGAGAGGGGGACAACCACUGGAAACGGUGGCUAAUACCCCAGAUGUUAUUGCGCUUAGAAAGCAAUUACUAAAGUUCCGGCGCUCCGGGAGGGGCCUGCGGCCCAUCAGCUUGUUGGUAAGGUAAUGGCUUACCAAGGCUAAGACGGGUAGGGGGCGUGAGAGCGUGACCCCCCACACUGGUACUGAGACACGGACCAGAUACCUGCGGGUAGCAGCAGCAAGGAAUAUUGCCCAAUGGACGAAAGUCUGAGGCAGCAACACCGCGUGGAGGAUGAAGGCCUGGUGUAACU
rnacentral:rRNA from 1 species